GACGAACGCUGGCGGCGUGCCUAACACAUGCAAGUCGAGCGAGUGAAUCUCCUUCGGGAGUGAAACUAGCGGCGGACGGGUGAGUAACACGUGGGCAACCUGCCUCAUAGAGGGGAAUAGCCUUUCGAAAGGAAGAUUAAUACCGCAUAAGAUUGUAGCUUCGCAUGAAGUAGCAAUUAAAGGAGUAAUCCGCUAUGAGAUGGGCCCGCGGCGCAUUAGCUAGUUGGUGAGGUAACGGCCCACCAAGGCGACGAUGCGUAGCCGACCUGAGAGGGUGAUCGGCCACACUGGGACUGAGACACGUCGCAGACAUCUCCGGGGGGCAGCAGUGGGGAAUAUUGCACAAUGGGGGAAACCCUGAUGCAGCAACGCCGCGUGAGUGAUGACGGCCUUCGGGUUGUAAAGCUCUGUCUUCAGGGAUGAUAAUGACGGUACCUGAGGAGGAAGCCACGGCUAACUACGUGCCAGCCGCCGCAGUAA
rnacentral:rRNA from 1 species